GGCGAACGCUGGCGGCGUGCUUAACACAUGCAAGUCGAACGGAAAGGCCCUGCUUCUGUGGGGUGCUCGAGUGGCGAACGGGUGAGUAACACGUGAGUAACCUGCCCUUGACUUUGGGAUAACUUCAGGAAACUGGGGCUAAUACCGGAUAGGAGCUCCUGCUGCAUGGUGGGGGUUGGUAAGUUUCGGCGGUUGGGGAUGGACUCGCGGCUUAUCAGCUUGUUGGUGGGGUAGUGGCUUACCAAGGCUUUGACGGGUAGCCGGCCUGAGAGGGUGACCGGCCACAUUGGGACUGAGAUACGGCCCAGACUCCUACGGGAGGCAGCAGUGGGGAAUAUUGCACAAUGGGCGGAAGCCUGAUGCAGCAACGCCGCGUGCGGGAUGACGGCCUUCGGGUUGUAAACCGCUUUCGCCUGUGACGAAGCGUGAGUGACGGUAAUGGGUAAAGAAGCACCGGCUAACUACGUG
rnacentral:rRNA from 1 species